CGAACCAAAGGGUCGAGUGGUUCGACCCAUGCUUCCUCUCCCGUCCGUGCGGCGGACCUUACCCCGCCUUCCAUCCAUGCAGCUGCCUCCAAUUCCUUCGUCGUCCUGCUCCUCCAUCCAUCUGGCGGCGCUCGUCCUUUGUACUACGCGCGGCGAGUCCUCCCCCACCCGUCCGUUGCUGACUCGCUGGGUGCCGGCCGUCCUCCCGCGGCCCCCGCCUCCACCGACAGCCUAGGCGUCGAGCCAGGCCCGUCCUACCUCGUCGGGGGCAUCGCCGUUACCCCGCCCUCUAGGCUGGCGCGGCGUGGAGGACAACGCAGAUCCGCCAGUCUCUUCUUGGAUUCGGUCCUUGUCUCGAUGGUUCUGGUUGACCACACCUACUUCCUCAAGGAACUCCAGUGAAGCCCAGACACCCUGGUGCCAUGCUAGAUGUAGUAAUUCUUCUCCGUGAUGUAAUAAAUGGCAGUUGGUGCUUGACUUUGCUCCUGCCAUGAUGAACUGAAAAUAAAACUGCUGUAGAGUUGUGCUUUUGCUAGGGAGGAUUGGGGUUCACUGUGUAACUGCCUGUUACUAGUUUGCAAUUGCUACCUGUAGCAAUCUGUCUAUUACACUGGACCAGUUUGAGGUGUUGAUUCACUGAUAUGUGCUGGUUGCCUGCUGUUGUUUUGUCGUGAAUCUGUCUAUUAGGUUAGUCGGCAACUAACCAACUGUAAGCAAUUGCAUUGACAAAUCCAUCUCAUGUUUGAUCUGAA